ACAAUCUGUCUCUUUCCAAGUGCGUGAAUCGAUUUUAGUUGGGCCAAAGCCUCGCUGCAGUUAAUAGCACAGUCCGCAAAAAAAAUUCAAAAGUGAAAAAAGAAACUAUAACCAGAACUUAAUCGAAAAUGAGUGAGGCAACGAAUUUGUUUACCACCUUCGGCAUUUUGGCCAUAUUGCUGUUCUUCCUGUGGAUCAUCUAUGCAGUAUUGUAAAUCAACAUCAAAUGGGUAGAGGCAUAGAGUUAAGCACGCGACAACAACAACAACAACAACUCAUACAAAAUGAAUGAAGCCAAAAGUUUGUUUACCACCUUCUUAAUCCUGGCAUUUUUGCUGUUCUUGCUCUAUGCCUUCUACGAAGCCGCUUUCUAAAUUAUGAUUUGAAUAGUUCAAGGAUAUACUUACAUGUUGAAUUUUAAUUCCAUCAACAAUUUCUUAAAAAUAUGUUUGUUAAAACAACAAUCAAAAACAUUUACUUAUGACUAGGAUUUGUAGAACGUUACGCGUUUAAGCCGCUAGCAUUUAAUGGAUUUCUAUUAGUACCCUAAGUCAGAUGACGCCAACGCCGCAGGCAGUAAAGAGCUGCCCGGUUCGGGGGAUCGACAUCAAUGGCCUGCAACGGAGCGAGUGUGUGUAGCGUGCCGCGUUUGAUUGAGACAACGCUUCGGUCAAUUUGGGUUGCAACCACAUCUCUCUCUUAUUUUAAAAUGGCCUAAAGGCAUUGGCGUCAUUUGCUCUAAUCAUAAAUAUUAACUGGCAAUUUUUGUUUCGCAAUGGAAUUUAUUCAAUUUAUAAUUUCUAGACCAUAAUGUACAGUAUAAGUGUGUAUAGCAAACAACAGCAACAACAACAACAACAACAUCAACAACCGCAUAACGCACACAUAGGAAAAUUGUUUAUUUCAUUGUUUAACACUUUGCACACAAAUUAUGUAAGAUCUUUAUUUAAUUCUAUAUGCAUUUUUUUCGUAAAUAACAACAAGACCAACAG
rnacentral:sRNA from 1 species